rnacentral:rRNA from 1 species
UACAGAGGUCUCAAGCGUUGUUCGGAAUCACUGGGCGUAAAGGGUGCGUAGGCGGCGGGGAAAGUCAGAUGUGAAAUCCGGAGGCUCAACCUCCGAAUUGCAUCCGAUACUACCUCGCUAGAGAUUUGUAGAGGAGCUUGGAAUUCUCGGUGCAGCAGUGAAAUGCGUAGAUAUCGAGAAGAACGCUCGCAGCGAAGGCGAAGCUCUGGGCAAAUUCUGACGCUGAUGCACGAAGGCUAGGGGAGCAAACGGG